GACGAACCACACGAACGUUAUUCGGAAUUACUGGGCGUAAAGGGCGCGUAGGCGGCGCGGUAAGUCACUUGUGAAAUCUCUGAGCUUAACUCAGAACGGCCGAGUGAUACUGCAGUGCUAGAGUGUGGAAGGGGCAAUCGGAAUUCUUGGUGUAGCGGUGAAAUGCGUAGAUAUCAAGAGGAACACCUGAGGUGAAGACGGGUUGCUGGGCCAACACUGACGCUGAUGCGCGAAAGCCAGGGGAGCAAACGGG
rnacentral:rRNA from 1 species